rnacentral:rRNA from 1 species
AGAGUUUGAUCCUGGCUCAGGAUGAACGCUGGCGGCGUGCUUAACACAUGCAAGUCGAGCGAAAUAAUUGGGAGCUUGCUUUUGAUUAUUUAGCGGCGGACGGGUGAGUAACGUGUGGGUAACCUGCCUUUUACUGGGGAAUAAUCACUGGAAACGGUGACUAAUACCGCAUACGGUUCUUGGAAGGCAUCUUCUAGGAAAGAAAGGAUUUAUUCGGUAAAAGAUGGGCCCGCAUCUGAUUAGCUAGUUGGUGAGAUAACAGCCCACCAAGGCGACGAUCAGUAGCCGACCUGAGAGGGUGACCGGCCACAUUGGGACUGAGACACGGCCCAAACUCCUACGGGAGGCAGCAGUGGGGAAUAUUGCACAAUGGGCGAAAGCCUGAUGCAGCAACGCCGCGUGAAGGAAGACGGUUUUCGGAUUGUAAACUUCUAUCAAUAGGGAAGAAAAAAUGACGGUACCUAAAUAAGAAGCCCCGGCUAACUACGUG